GGGGCUAAACCAUGCACCGAAGCUGCGGCAGCGACACUGUGUGUUGUUGGGUAGGGGAGCGUUCUGUAAGCCUGUGAAGGUGUGUCGUGAGGCAUGCUGGAGGUAUCAGAAGUGCGAAUGCUGACAUAAGUAACGAUAAAGCGGGUGAAAAGCCCGCUCGCCGGAAGACCAAGGGUUCCUGUCCAACGUUAAUCGGGGCAGGGUGAGUCGACCCCUAAGGCGAGGCCGAAAGGCGUAGUCGAUGGGAAACGGGUUAAUAUUCCCGUACUUGGUGUUACUGCGAAGGGGGGACGGAGAAGGCUAUGUUGGCCGGGCGACGGUUGUCCCGGUUUAAGCGUGUAGGUGUGUGUUCCAGGUAAAUCCGGUUCACUUUAACACUGAGGCGUGACGACGAGGCACUACGGUGCUGAAGCAACAAAUGCCCUGCUUCCAGGAAAAGCCUCUAAGCAUCAGGUAACAUCAAAUCGUACCCCAAACCGACACAGGUGGUCAGGUAGAGAAUACCAAGGCGCUUGAGAGAACUCGGGUGAAGGAACUAGGCAAAAUGGUGCCGUAACUUCGGGAGAAGGCACGCUGACACGUAGGUGAAGUGAUUUACUCAUGGAGCUGAAGUCAGUCGAAGAUACCAGCUGGCUGCAACUGUUUAUUAAAAACACAGCACUGUGCAAACACGAAAGUGGACGUAUACGGUGUGACGCCUGCCCGGUGCCGGAAGGUUAAUUGAUGGGGUCAGCGCAAGCGAAGCUCCUGAUCGAAGCCCCGGUAAACGGCGGCCGUAACUAUAACGGUCCUAAGGUAGCGAAAUUCCUUGUCGGGUAAGUUCCGACCUGCACGAAUGGCGUAAUGAUGGCCAGGCUGUCUCCACCCGAGACUCAGUGAAAUUGAACUCGCUGUGAAGAUGCAGUGUACCCGCGGCAAGACGGAAAGACCCCGUGAACCUUUACUAUAGCUUGACACUGAACAUUGAGCCUUGAUGUGUAGGAUAGGUGGGAGGCUUUGAAGUGUGGACGCCAGUCUGCAUGGAGCCGACCUUGAAAUACCACCCUUUAAUGUUUGAUGUUCUAACGUGGACCCGUUACCCGGGUUGCGGACAGUGUCUGGUGGGUAGUUUGACUGGGGCGGUCUCCUCCUAAAGAGUAACGGAGGAGCACGAAGGUUGGCUAAUCCUGGUCGGACAUCAGGAGGUUAGUGCAAUGGCAUAAGCCAGCUUGACUGCGAGCGUGACGGCGCGAGCAGGUGCGAAAGCAGGUCAUAGUGAUCCGGUGGUUCUGAAUGGAAGGGCCAUCGCUCAACGGAUAAAAGGUACUCCGGGGAUAACAGGCUGAUACCGCCCAAGAGUUCAUAUCGACGGCGGUGUUUGGCACCUCGAUGUCGGCUCAUCACAUCCUGGGGCUGAAGUAGGUCCCAAGGGUAUGGCUGUUCGCCAUUUAAAGUGGUACGCGAGCUGGGUUUAGAACGUCGUGAGACAGUUCGGUCCCUAUCUGCCGUGGGCGCUGGAGAACUGAGGGGGGCUGCUCCUAGUACGAGAGGACCGGAGUGGACGCAUCACUGGUGUUCGGGUUGUCAUGCCAAUGGCACUGCCCGGUAGCUAAAUGCGGAAGAGAUAAGUGCUGAAAGCAUCUAAGCACGAAACUUGCCCCGAG
rnacentral:rRNA from 2 species